rnacentral:rRNA from 1 species
GGCCGUAUAUCGCGCAGUAUGAUCUAGCAUGCCGCGUGAGCGAUGAAGGCCUUAGGGUUGUAAAGCUCUUUCAGUGGGGAAGAUAAUGACUGUACCCACAGAAGAAGCCCCGGCUAACUCCGUGCCAGCAGCCGCGGUAAU